GUGAAUCAUCGAAUUUUUGAACGCAAAUUGCACUCUUUUCUGAGCGUAUGCCCGCUUGAGGGUCAGAAUUAAUAAAAAUCGGUGUGUUGCUUCUUUGUGAUGUUCCGGAGUUUGGGUUAUCUUAAUAUCCGUUAGGUUUUAAGAUGCUUAAAUUUGACUUUUUUUGCGCAUUUUAGAUGUAUAAACAUUCU
rnacentral:misc_RNA from 1 species